ACCGAGCAACCCUGUGGAGAAGCCCACAUAGCGAGGAACUGAGGCCUGUUCCCCACAGCUGUGUGAGCACGCCAUCUGGGAAGCAGAUCCUCCAGUCUCAGGCAAGACAACAUGGCCGCAGCCGCCGCCACCAUCUACACGGCAGCCAGACCCUGAGCCAGAGCAGCCUAGCUCAACUGCCUCUGAAUUCUUAACUUACCAACGUGGCAAGAUAGUAGAAAUCUGGUGUUUGAAUCACCACGUUGUGUGGUAUUUUGUUACAUCACAAUAGAUAACCAAUAUAGGGCUCUUCAUCUUUCCCAUAGCAACUGUGACGAAAGGCAAUCCAGGCUCAGCUCCAACACCCCCCAUGACAGAACUUGCUUCCUCCAGCACAGCCCAGGGAAUGGCUUGACCACUCUGUUAUGAGGUGCUGCCCUCACUGAGCUGGUUUUGGCUUCCCUGUAACUUCCAUCCCCGUCAAGGCACACCCUGUGAAGCCAAGGUGCAUCCUCUCCUCUUCCAUGUGACCGCCCUUCAGACACCUGAAGUCAGCGACGAUGCCUGCCCCCGUGUCCUCCUCCACUGGCUACAGGAAUAAAGAGGAGGGGCCCAGGAAAAGAGACAUAGUCUGUAGGUAGGCCACAGUCUUUUGUGCACCAACCCAAGAGGGACUGGAUACUGAGAGGCCUUGGGAAAUGAGGAACACCAGUCCUGAACCACUAGGCAUCGUUCCAGAGACGAUCACCCUGCAGAAAAUCUUCCUGCACACAGAUGUCUGCAGCAGUCUGUCUCUCAGGAAACCUGACUCAAGACUCCCGGCUUUCCUACAUGCUCUUGACAUGAGUAGGAGUGUUGGCCCAUAUACGUAAUAGUCCCAACUCCUACAGACGGUCCUCAACAUCCAGCGUGUUUUUAAGGCUUACAGAAGAUGUGAAUUCAAACUAGUCUCUUUGCAAAUGCUCAACGCUGCGUGUUGGUUGGGGUUGCCCGUGUUGCACGGUACACAUUUAGUG